CUAAGAAUCUUGCGCAAUGGGCGAAAGCCUGACGCAGCAAUUCCGCGUGGGGGACGAAGGCCCUCGGGUCGUAAACCCCUUUUGUGAGGGAAGAAGUUCUGACGGUACCUCACGAAUAAGACACGGCUAACUACGUGCCAGCAGCCGCGGUAAUACGUAGGUGUCGAGCGUUGUCCGGAUUUAUUGGGCGUAAAGAGCCCGCAGGCGGCUUGGUAAGUUCGAGGUGAAAUCUCCCGGCUCAACUGGGAGGGUGCCUCGAAAACUAUCAGGCUUGAGGCAGGGAGAGGGAUGUGCAAUUCCCGGUGUAGUAGUGAAAUGCGUAGAUAUCGGGAGGAACACCAGUGGCGAAGGCGGCAUCCUGGCCCUGUCCUGACGCUCAGGGGCGAAAGCGUGGGGAGCAAACC
rnacentral:rRNA from 1 species